AUUGGAUUGAGAACAACGUACAAACCUUAUCGAUAAACAAUUGGAGGGCAAGUCUGGUGCCAGCAGCCGCGGUAAUUCCAGCUCCAAUAGCGUAUAUUAACGUUGUUGCAGUUAAAAAGCUCGUAGUUGAAAUGAAGAGUGUGUUGUUGUGGUAAUACAUUCGUGUAUUGUCAACAUCAACCAUUCUCCUUCUAAAUAAUGUAUAUGAGUAUUAAUUUACUUGUAUAUGUAUUUAGACAUUUACUGUGAGAAAAUUAGAGUGUUCAAAGCAGGCAUUUGCUUGAAUAUAUUAGCAUGGAAUAAUCAUGUAUGAUUUUCAUG
rnacentral:rRNA from 1 species